UACGGGGUGAGCAACAACGUUGUUCGGAAUUACUGGGCGUAAAGAGUGUGUAGGCGGUUUCGUAAGUUUGGUGUGAAAAUCUCCCGGCUUAACUGGGAGGGUGCGCCGAAAACUGCGAGGCUUGAGUACUGGAGAGGAGAGCGGAAUUCCUGGUGUAGCGGUGAAAUGCGUAGAUAUCAGGAGGAACACCGGUGGCGAAGGCGGGUCUCUGGGCCGAUACUGACGCUGAGGAGCGAAAGCGUGGGGAGCGAACAGGAUUAGAAACCCG
rnacentral:rRNA from 1 species